UUUAAAACAUGACAUUUAAAGAAAUGAUAAGUUGGUACGCCUGUGGCGAGAUAAAAGGAACAUAUGAAUGACAGAUGGCUCCUAUGGGA